UAAAGGGAUAACGUGUCAAGCCAAUUGAGCGUCAAGUUUUUAAGUAUUUCACUAUUCGCCUUCUUCCUACCGUCGGUGCUCGGGAAGAGGAAGUGACGUACGUCCGGUGUAAUGGCGGCGCGGUGGAGCUCUAGGUGAUGUUUGCAGACAGAAAAAGUAAACUGUCAAGGAAUUCAGAGCAUUGGGUACUUGUUAUUUGGACCAGUUUGAAGAAUCUUUGAUUUAUUGGACCAACUGGCAACAGAAAAUGAAAAGUAGUGUGGCACAGAUAAAAGUAAGUGUUUGAAACUUAAAAUAGAGGAUGUAAACUUAUAGUCAA
rnacentral:lncRNA from 1 species